ensembl:miRNA
GCUAAGCCCUUACAACUGUUUGCAGAGGAAACUGAGACUUCGUAACUAUGUCCCAGUCUCAUCUGCAAAGAAGUAAGUGCUUUGC